GGAAGAUUCAUGUGUAGUGUAUGAUUAAGACUUUGUGCCGAUUAACAGAGAAUUUGAAGGUAUGUGUACACGAUCCAUGCAAUACCAAUAUUUUUUGGAGAAGAAGACGAAAAACGCCAGCAACGAAAAGAAGAGAAUAUAAAGCUUUGUGAUUGUUCAUGCCUAUGCACCUUUCUGUUUAAACAUUCGAAUUAUAAUUUGUUCCAAUCAAACACUUGAACACUUAAUAAAGUGUUCAUAUUGCUACUUUUUAAUGUGUUUUAACAUAAACAUUAAAGAAACGUGUGA
rnacentral:lncRNA from 1 species